rnacentral:rRNA from 1 species
GAGUAACACGUGGGUAACCUGCCCAUCAGAAGGGGAUAACACUUGGAAACAGGUGCUAAUACCGUAUAACAAUCGAAACCGCAUGGUUUUGAUUUGAAAGGCGCUUUCGGGUGUCGCUGAUGGAUGGACCCGCGGUGCAUUAGCUAGUUGGUGAGGUAACGGCUCACCAAGGCCACGAUGCAUAGCCGACCUGAGAGGGUGAUCGGCCACAUUGGGACUGAGACACGGCCCAAACUCCUACGGGAGGCAGCAGUAGGGAAUCUUCGGCAAUGGACGAAAGUCUGACCGAGCAACGCCGCGUGAGUGAAGAAGGUUUUCGGAUCGUAAAACUCUGUUGUUAGAGAAGAACAAGGAUGAGAGUAACUGUUCAUCCCUUGACGGUAUCUAACCAGAAAGCCACGGCUAACUACGUGCCAGCAGCCGCGGUAAUACGUAGGUGGCAAGCGUUGUCCGGAUUUAUUGGGCGUAAAGCGAGCGCAGGCGGUUUCUUAAGUCUGAUGU